UAGUCCACACCGUAAACGAUGAAUGCCAGUCGUCGGGUAGCAUGCUAUUCGGUGACACACCUAACGGAUUAAGCAUUCUGCCAGGGGAGUACGGUCGCAAGAUUAAAACUCAAAGGAAUUGACGGGGACCCGCACAAGCGGUGGAGCAUGUUCUUUAAUUCGAAGCAACGCGAAGAACCUUACCUACACUUGACAUACUCGUCGGGAUUUCCAGAGAUGGAUUUCUUCGGUUCGGCCGGACGAGAUACAGGUGCUGCACGGCUGUCGUCAGCUCGUGUCGUGAGAUGUUUGGUUAAGUCCAGCAACGAGCGCAACCCCUAUCGUAUGUUGCCAGCAUUCAGUUGGGCACUCAUGCGAGACUGCCGGUGUUAAGCCGGAGGAAGGUGGGGACGACGUCAAGUCAUCAUGGCCCUUACGUGUAGGGCUAGAAACGUGCUACAAUGGGAGUUACAGUGGGCAGCAACGUCGCGAGGCGAAGCUAAUCCCUAAAAGCUCUCUCAGUUC
rnacentral:rRNA from 1 species